CAUCUCGUGAUGCCCUUCUGUUUACUCUCGCCUCACAGAAAUCUAAGGACUCCCUGGCCAUCCCUUAGGCACACCAGAGGUGUUCCCUCUGGCCACUCUUGGCUACUCACGUGUCACAGCAGCCCACACCAACAGGAUGCAGACAGGUACAAUGGAAGCAGUCCUUGCGGAGCCAAGAUUCACCCAGAGUGAAAUAUUUACCCUCGUACUGGCAGGGAGCUAGGGAAGGAUGAGAACUGUGUUAGCAGAUGAGAACUGGAGUGUUGGCAGAAGUCUCUUCUGGUCUGGGGUAGAGGAUAAUCCAUGCAUACUACCCCUCCAUACAGCCUUCCUGUUUCACAGGUUGAAGGCCUGAAUGUUCUAACCCAAGGUUGGGCAUCUCUAAGCCUUCACCACUGCCCUUCCCUUUCCCUUUAGCAUCAGCCCACCUUACCUUGAGCUUGGAAGUAGCACUUGCUGUUGACUCCUGGGUGCUGCAGGACCAGGGACACCACCAAGCAGAUGACCCUCCAGCCUCCCAGGAUCCCCUUGGCCUGUCCAGCCCAGAGUAUCCUUAGAGCCAUUCCUGCAGCUCAGCUCUCAGACCCGCCUUGGCUUCUGUUCAGAUUCCUCUGGUUUUAUCCCCUCGCUCUUCUUGCCUUGCUCCUGGCCUCCUGAGUUUCUCUCUCCUUGGACUCCUGACUCACACCAUGGCAGUGCCCUCUGCUCUUACAGGCUGGGAAUGUUUAUAAAGUGGGGACCCUGGUCCCCUGCUGAGUAGAGCCGGACAGGCUGUAACUCUGUUUCCUGAGGUGAGGGCAUGAAAACAAGAGGUCCGGCUUUUAACAAGCUGUGAGAGCUGAUUCAUGCCCCCACACAGCUAGGAGGAGGGAGGCAGCCAUGCAAGGGGCACUGGACUGGGCACUAAUACAGCCAGGAGGGGAGGGGUGAAGGCCCCAGGUGGUCCCCAGAUCUCCUUGACCUGCAGAGAGGAAGCAUUCCAUCAACCCUCCUUCCACCAGCAACAGGGGUGUGUGUGCUGGGAUCCCUGCCUGAACCGGAGGGAGGCAUUUCCUGGGGAUGGCGAAUCCUGUGCCCCAGCCAAACCAAGGAGCUGCAGAAGGGUGCAACUGCCAGUCUCCAGGAGAGCAGGCAGGCAUCUGGAAUGGAGAGUUUCCUUCACAUCCCAGGGCAGGGUUUCCCUGGUGCACUGUGAGGAAAGGGGUUCAUCCAUAGGCACCCCAAAUUUUGCAUUUUUACCCCAAGUGGACAACAGAUGCAAGAUCGUCCCAUUCCUGACAGUGCUUCUGCACCCCCCCAAGAGAAGUAUCUCCAAAUACCUUAAUGGAUGUCACCCCACUUCACAGAGAUGCCCCCUCUUUCCUCAUGAUGGGAGCUUUCUAACGUCCGAGUUUCCACAGGCUCUGCAGGAGUGCUGGGCUUCAGUGCCUGCCCACUGGCUGUCUGGCCAUGCACAGGGCACUUCACCUGCCACCCCGCUUCCUCACCGUAUUGAGAGUAGACGUGCCAGCUCUUGGGCUUGUGAGAUAGAUAGCAUGUGGGAUGUUCUUAACACCAUUGCUGGCCCAUGGCCCUCAGAAAAUAGCCGCUGACGGAGGCUAAAGCUCAGGCAAAAACGAUGUUCUUUCCUCUGGAUGGCAGUAAGUAGCUCUGUACAGCUGAGGGCUUCUGGUGUGGGCUCCCGGGUCCAGCUUCUGCCUUCACAUGUAUGCUUCAAGGUAUCCCUACUGCCUCCUUCAAAGACCUGUGUGGUCCUGGGAGCAUUUUAGAUCCAGUCUUUGACAUGUGGGUUGAAAGGUGGUGUUGACAAAUCUGUGUUUCCAUACCUUGGGAAGAGGGAUCAUGCCGUACCCUCCCUUCAGCUAACUUUAGGACUCUUUUUCUUAUUUGGAUUCUGACUUCCUUCUCAUCCCCUCAUGUGCACUCCAAGUCUCCUUUGUGACUACUUUGUGACCCUGGACUUUUGUUCUACCUUCCGGAGUCCCCAGUGUUGUUCGGUUCUUCCUUUCCUACUCCUAGGACGUUUACUGCGGUUUUCCAUCCAUGCCUGCGGUCCCGUUCACCCCUCGUUCACCCCUCGCUUUACUCAUCUAGCACAGCAGAUACAUCUUACUAAUGGCAGACCUUUUCAGGAGCCCCCUGCUUGUCACCUCUUCAUUCAGCUGCUACUGUCACGUCAGCCCACCUCUGGGAUGCCUUUUGCAUUGGCUAGGGAUGUAGUUGGGUGACAGUGUUUACCAUCUAGUGUCCCAGGUUCCACCCCUAACACCCUCCCCCCCAUUAAGUGGAAGAAAACAAGUGUUUUUUCAGAUUGAUAUCAAGAUAAGAACAAAGGAAAACUUAGGACACCUAGGUAGGCUCCUGGGAGCCUGGAGGGGAGAACACAGCUUCGACUCCUUGCUGUCUUGGCUGGAGAAGGGAUUAGCAGUCUGCUUAGUAGUGAGCUCUGCCACUGCCUUGGGGGAACCCACCUGAAGGCCGAGCAUAGACCAUUUUCUGCAGUAGCUCGACACAAUGCACGUGAGGCUAGAGAUCCCGGAGGCAGAAGAGGCACUGGAAGUGAGACCUGGUAGGCAUUAGUGUCUGAGAGGUGCGGGUGAAGGCGUGUAGCUGUGGGGACUUCUGGAAGGAGGCAGAGGCCGAGCAGAAUUCCUCUCUGAGGUCAUAGGGCAGUGGGGAACUGGCUGAUGACCUGGCAGUGGUGUGUGCAGAGGCAUCAGUGGUUAGAGCCCAGCCCACUGAGUCCCAGGGGAGUAGCCUUUGGGGCAAGGGGCAGGACAGGGUCAGGGUGAGGGUUGGCACAGGCCACCUAUGCAGGGACAAGGAAAACAUCCGCCAGCGCUGGGCCAGACUGUUCCAGCAGUGCAGGCAGGUGCGCACGCAGGGCAAGGAAGUGAGCACAUUCCGGGGCUGAGUCAGCCCAACCCGGCUUGCUUUGCCCAAAUGGGACAGAGCACUGUGUUUGGAGAUGGUGGCUCAGGGAGGUUUGGGGACAAGAGCCCAAAGAAAUCAUGAGAGGGACUGCUUUCUGCCCAGCUGGCAACAAACUGCAGAGCCCCUAAAUUCAUAGCUCGAGACUGAGUAGGCAGUGAGGCAGGCAGGUUAGAGCUGAGAGGCUUGAGAGGAAGGGCAGAGGAAAGGCCCUCCAGAGUCUUGCUGGAGUGGAGGAUCCAGGGAAGCCGAGGCAGGUGGUGAGGCCUCUGAGAAUAAGGAGUUCACCAUCCAUGCAAGUCAGAGGGUAUGACAGCCCAGCUAGGUCUGCCAGGGGCCGGUGUGAAGGAAGGGCUCCAGGGAGUGUCAGGGGUUAGAUUAUUUGGAUCUUUGCAGUACUUCCUGGGUCUAAAGAGGCUUUCUGUGCUGGAAUAGUUGUUCGGGUUUCUCAGGUAAACUGGAGCCAUGUUGGUCUAUGACCACAAAGAUAGUGGAUGGUGUAGUAACAAAGUCCUGUGUCUCCCAUUACCCAACCUGCCACCCACUACCCCUCGCCCAAGCCCCCAAAGGAAGGCUAUCACUGAUAGGGCUGUGUCCAUAUACCUAUCCCAACAGAGAAGCAGGAGUGUUGCCCCAAGUAUGAGGACCAGGUGGGGCUAUAGAGUGAGACCCUAUUUUAAAAACAAUUUGCUCUUACUAAACCUUAAAAUUUUGAAUAAAGAUUGAAAAAUCAGUGUUAA
rnacentral:lncRNA from 1 species